UUUAGUUCAAAACCCCGAAACUAAGUGAGCUACCCCGAGACAGCCUAUCAAUUAGGGCCAACCCAUCUCUGUGGCAAAAGAGUGGGAAGAGCUCCGGGUAGAGGUGACAAACCUACCGAACUUAGUUAUAGCUGGUUACCUAAGAAAUGAAUAAAAGUUCAGCCUCGCACUCCUUGCCUCACAAACAUCUAAAACCACACGAGCCAAAGAAAUAUGCGAGAGUUAGUCAAAGGGGGUACAGCCCCUUUGAAACAGGACACAACCUCAUGCAGGAGGUUAAAGAUUACACUAAACAAGAUACACCGCUUUAGUGGGCCUAAAAGCAGCCACCUAGACAGAUAGCGUUAAAGCUCCAGCGGACUAAAAAUCUAUUAUCCAAAUAAUUUAUCUAAAACCCCUAACAAUAUUAGGUCGCCCCAUGCCUACAUGGAAGAGAUACUGCUAAAAUGAGUAAUAAGAAGGAACCCCCUUCUCCUAGCCUACGUGUAUAUUAGAUCGGACCCCCCACUAAUAAUUAUCGAGCCCAACCAAAGAGGGUAAUGUGAUCGCACUAAAAAACAAGAAAACAUCACACCACCAAAUCGUUAAUCCCACACCGGAAGGCCCACAAGGAAAGACUAAAAGAAAAGGAAGGAACUCGGCAAACCCAAGCCUCGCCUGUUUACCAAAAACAUCGCCUCCUGCAAAAAUCAAUGUAUAGGAGGUCCUACCUGCCCAGUGACAAGUUAAACGGCCGCGGUAUUUUGACCGUGCGAAGGUAGCGCAAUCACUUGUCUUUUAAAUGAAGACCUGUAUGAAUGGUGGAACGAGGGCUUAACUGUCUCCCCUUUCCAGUCAAUGAAAUUGAUCUGCCCGUGCAGAAGCGGACAUAUUAGUACAAGACGAGAAGACCCUUUGGAGCUUAAGAUAAAAGAUCAACUAUGUCAAGAAACUAAAAACAUAGCUUAAACUAAAUAGCAACUGAUCCUUAUCUUCAGUUGGGGCGACUGCGGAAGAAAACAAAGCUUCCACGAGGAUUGGGAUAAAUAACCUAAAGCCGAGAAAGACACUUCUAAGCCACAGAACAUCUGACCAUAUAAGAUCCGGCCACCCGCCGAUCAACGGACCAAGUUACCCUAGGGAUAACAGCGCAAUCCCCUUUCAGAGUUCAUAUCGACAAGGGGGUUUACGACCUCGAUGUUGGAUCAGGACAUCCUAAUGGUGCAGCCGCU
rnacentral:rRNA from 1 species